rnacentral:lncRNA from 1 species
UUCGUCUCCCUAGUAUUGUCAAAACCAUACGCCCUCCGCCAACCAUCUCCUCGGCACGACAUUUGAGAAACAUAAAAAAAUCUCUUUGAAAUUGCUCGUGGUAUGCUCUUAUUACGCUUGGAGGGCUUGUUGUUGAUAUGUAUAUGUUCCCUUUGUUAGUAUUUUCCAUAAGUAACCUUAGAGAGCCACAUGAGACUAUAGGAUGAGUGGACAAAAUGAAGGCUUUUGUUGAGAAAAAGCCUUGUAUAGAACGAUCCUGGGACUCCAAAAAAGUAACACAGUGGUAAAGACGAGUUGUGGACCAUUAGCUGUGUAAGGUUCUUUUGAAAUUUCGAUAUAGAGAGAAAAAGAGUGUUGAAAUCAUUAUGUGGAAGAUCAUUCAAGUAGAACUGGAUUUCUGGUGAUUCAUGAUGACCUAAUU